GAUCAUGGCUCAGAACGAACGCUGGCGGCAUGGAUUAGGCGUGCAAGUCGAACGGUGUAGCAAUACACAGUGGCGGAAGGGUGAGGAACACGUGAAUAAUCUGCCCUCAAGUUGGGAAUAACUUUCCGAAAGGAAAGCUAAUACCGAAUGUGGUGUUUUAUCGCAUGAUAGGACAACUAAAGAUUUAUCGCUUGAGGAUGAGUUCGCGUCCCAUUAGCUAGUUGGCGGGUAACGGCCCACCAAGGCAGAGAUGGGUAGCUGGUCUGAGAGGAUGAUCAGCCACACUGGGACUGAGACACUGCCCAGACUCCUACGGGAGGCUGCAGUCGAGAAUCUUUUGCAAUGCGCGAAAGCGUGACAAAGCAAUGCCGCGUGCCGGAUGAAGGUCUUCGGAUUGUAAACGGCUGUCACUCGGGACGAAAAAUGACGGUACCGAGGGAGGAAGCCACGGCUAACUACGUGCCAGCCGCGGC
rnacentral:rRNA from 1 species